rnacentral:tRNA from 1 species
GCGCCCGUAGCUCAACUGGAUAGAGCGUCUGACUUCGGAUCAGAAGGUUGAGGGUUCGAAUCCUUCCGGGCGUA